rnacentral:lncRNA from 10 species
CAGGACCACUGUCAUAUAUUUGGUCCAUUGUUGAGCAAAACAUUAUGCAGCAUGUGACUGUAGUUUUAAAUAGCAAUGUAGAUGAAAGUCUUGUGUUUUGGGCCUGAGUUGGGACUGGAAUGCUGUGAGUCCUGAGUAAACGUAGUCUUCAAGUUUGCAAAUGAUACUUAAUAUUUGUUAAUAAUAAAAUGCCAAGAGGGGAU